rnacentral:rRNA from 1 species
UACGUAGGUGGCGAGCGUUGUCCGGAUUUAUUGGGUUUAAAGGGUGCGUAGGCGGCCCUAUAAGUCAGUGCUGAAAUAUCCCGGCUUAACCGGGAGGGUGGCAUUGAUACUGUAGGGCUUGAGUAAAGUUGAGGUUGGCGGAAUUGACGGUGUAGCGGUGAAAUGUGUAGAGAUCGGGAGGAACACCGGUGGCGAAGGCGGGUCUCUGGGCAUUUCCUGACGCUGAGGCGCGAAAGCGUGGGGAGCAAACGGG